AUUGAACGCUGGCGGCAGGCCUAACACAUGCAAGUCGAGCGGAGCGGCGGACGGGUGAGUAAUGCCUAGGAAUCUGCCUGGUAGUGGGGGAUAACGUCCGGAAACGGGCGCUAAUACCGCAUACUAUCAGAUGUGCCCAGAUGGGAUUAGCUUGUUGGUGGGGUAACGGCUCACCAGGGCGACGAUCCCUAGCUGGCCGGAGAGGAUGACCAGCAAAACUGGAACUGGGACACGGCCCAGACUCCUCAGGGAGGCAGCAGUGGGGAAUAUUGCACAAUGGGCGAAGGCCUGCUGCAGCCAGGCCGCGUGUAUGAAGAGGGCCUUCGGGUUGUAAAGUACUUUCAGCGGGGAGGCGUUACCCGCAGAAGAAGCACCGGCUAACUCCGUGCCAGCAGCCGCGGUAAUAC
rnacentral:rRNA from 1 species